rnacentral:tRNA from 1 species
AGCCCCGUAACUCAAUGGGUGGAGUGCCUCUCUUACAAAGAGGAAGUUGCGGGUUCAACUCCUGCCGGGGCUA